rnacentral:rRNA from 1 species
UACAGAGGUUGCAAGCGUUGUUCGGAAUUACUGGGCGUAAAGCGCGCGCAGGCGGUCCUUCAAGUCAGAGGUGAAAGCCCAGGGCUCAACCCUGGAACUGCCUUUGAAACUGGAGGACUUGAGUACGGGAGAGGUGAGUGGAAUUCCGAGUGUAGAGGUGAAAUUCGUAGAUAUUCGGAAGAACACCAGUGGCGAAGGCGGCUCACUGGCCCGUUACUGACGCUCAGGCGCGACAGCGUGGGGAGCAAACAGG